UCUGGUGGUUAUAGCGGAGGGGAAACACCCGUUCCCAUCCCGAACACGGAAGUUAAGCCCUCCAGCGCCGAUGGUACUGGGGGUCCGUCCCCCGGGAGAGUAGGUCGCUGCCAGAA
rfam:Thermanaeromonas toyohensis ToBE genome assembly, chromosome: I